rnacentral:rRNA from 1 species
GUGGACGCCAGUCUGCAUGGAGCCGGCCUUGAAAUACCACCCUUUAAUGUUUGAUGUUCUAACGUGGACCCGUAAUCCGGGUUGCGGACAGUGUCUGGUGGGUAGUUUGACUGGGGCGGUCUCCUCCUAAAGAGUAACGGAGGAGCACGAAGGUUGGCUAAUCCUGGUCGGACAUCAGGAGGUUAGUGCAAUGGCAUAAGCCAGCUUGACUGCGAGCGUGACGGCGCGAGCAGGUGCGAAAGCAGGUCAUAGUGAUCCGGUGGUUCUGAAUGGAAGGGCCAUCGCUCAACGGAUAAAAGGUACUCCGGGGAUAACAGGCUGAUACCGCCCAAGAGUUCAUAUCGACGGCGGUGUUUGGCACCUCGAUGUCGGCUCAUCACAUCCUGGGGCUGAAGUAGGUCCCAAGGGUAUGGCUGUUCGCCAUUUAAAGUGGUACGCGAGCUGGGUUUAGAACGUCGUGAGACAGUUCGGUCCCUAUCUGCCGUGGGCGCUGGAGAACUGAGGGGGGCUGCUCCUAGUACGAGAGGACCGGAGUGGACGCAUCACUGGUGUUCGGGUUGUCAUGCCAAUGGCACUGCCCGGUAGCUAA